UACGUAGGGGCAAGCGUUGUCCGGAAUUAUUGGGCGUAAAGCGCGUGUAGGCGGCUCGGUAAGUCUGCUGUGAAAGUCCAGGGCUCAACCCUGGAAUGCCGGUGGAUACUGUCGAGCUCGAGUCCGGAAGAGGCGAGUGGAAUUCCUGGUGUAGCGGUGAAAUGCGCAGAUAUCAGGAGGAACACCAAUGGCGAAGGCAGCUCGCUGGACGGUACUGACGCUGGAGGAGCGAAGCGUGGGAGCAAACAG
rnacentral:rRNA from 1 species